rnacentral:rRNA from 1 species
GACGAACGCUGGCGGCGUGCUUAACACAUGCAAGUCGAACGGAAAGGCCCUGCUUUUGUGGGGUGCUCGAGUGGCGAACGGGUGAGUAACACGUGAGUAACCUGCCCUUGACUUUCGGAUAACUUCAGGAAACUGGGGCUAAUACCGGAUAGGAGCUCUUGCUGCACGGUGGGGGUUGGAAAGUUUCGGCGGUUGGGGAUGGACUCGCGGGUUAUCAGCUUGUUUGUGAGGUAGUGGCUUACCAAGGUUUUGACGGGUAGCCGGCCUGAGAGGGGGGCCGGCGACAUUGGGACUGCGAUACGGACCAGACUCCUACGGGAGGCAGCAGUGGAGAAUAUUGCACAAUGGGCGGAAGCCUGAGGCAACAACGCCGCGUGCGGGAUGACGGCCUUCGGGUGAUAAACCGCUUUCGAAUGUGACGAAGCGUGAGUGACGGUAAUGGGUAAAGAAGCACCGGCUAACUACGUG